rnacentral:rRNA from 1 species
AUUGAACGCUGGCGGCAGGCCUAAUACAUGCAAGUCGAACGAGUGGCGGACGGGUGAGUAAUGUCGGGGAAACUGCCUGAUGGAGGGGGAUAACUAGUGGAAACGGUAGUUAAUACCUCAUAGCAUCAGAUGUGCCCAGAUGGGAUUAGCUAGUUGGUGGGGUAACGGCUCACCAAGGCGACGAUCCCUAGCUGGUCUGCGAGGAUGACCAGCCACACUGGAGCUCAUACACGGUCCAGACUCCUCCGGGAUGCAGCAGUGGGGAAUGUUGCACAACGGGCGCAAGCCUGAUGCAGCCAUGCCGCGUGUAUGAAGAAGGCCUUCGGGUUGUAAAGUACUUUCAUCGGGGAGGCGUUACCCGUAUAAGAAGCACCGGCUAGCUCCGUGCCAGGAGGCGCGGUAAUAC